rnacentral:rRNA from 1 species
CUGCUGCCUUCCGUAGGAGUCUGGUCCGUGUCUCAGUACCAGUGUGGGGGACCUUCCUCUCAGAACCCCUACGCAUCGUCGCCUUGGUGGGCCGUUACCCCGCCAACUAGCUAAUGCGCCGCAUGCCCAUCCGUGACCGGGGUCGCCCCUUUGGCCGGCAGGGGAUGUCCCCUCCCGGCAUUAUGUUGUAUUAGGCGGGAUUUCUCCCGGUUAUCCAUCUGUCACGGCCAGGUUGCAUACGUGUUACUCACCCGUGCGCCGGUCGCCGG